rnacentral:rRNA from 1 species
GGGUUGUGAGGUUAAGCGACUAAGCGUACACGGUGGAUGCCCUGGCAGUCAGAGGCGAUGAAGGGCGUGCUAAUCUGCGAUAAGCGCCGGUAAGGUGAUAUGAACCGUUAUAACCGGCGAUACCCGAAUGGGGAAACCCAGUGUGACUCGUCACACUAUCAUUAACUGAAUCCAUAGGUUAAUGAGGCGAACCGGGGGAACUGAAACAUCUAAGUACCCCGAGGAAAAGAAAUCAACCGAGAUUCCCCCAGUAGCGGCGAGCGAACGGGGAGGAGCCCAGAGCCUGAAUCAGCAUGUGUGUUAGUGGAAGCGUCUGGAAAGGCGCGCGAUACAGGGUGACAGCCCCGUACACAAAAGCGCAUAUGCUGUGAGCUCGAUGAGUAGGGCGGGACACGUGGUAUCCUGUCUGAAUAUGGGGGGACCAUCCUCCAAGGCUAAAUACUCCUGACUGACCGAUAGUGAACCAGUACCGUGAGGGAAAGGCGAAAAGAACCCCGGCGAGGGGAGUGAAAAAGAACCUGAAACCGUGUACGUACAAGCAGUGGGAGCACCCUUUGGGGUGUGACUGCGUACCUUUUGUAUAAUGGGUCAGCGACUUAUAUUCUGUAGCAAGGUUAACCGAAUAGGGGAGCCGGAGGGAAACCGAGUCUUAAUUGGGCGUUAAGUUGCAGGGUAUAGACCCGAAACCCGGUGAUCUAGCCAUGGGCAGGUUGAAGGUUGGGUAACACUAACUGGAGGACCGAACCGACUAAUGUUGAAAAAUUAGCGGAUGACCUGUGGCUGGGGGUGAAAGGCCAAUCAAACCGGGAGAUAGCUGGUUCUCCCCGAAAGCUAUUUAGGUAGCGCCUCGUGAAUUCAUCUCCGGGGGUAGAGCACUGUUUCGGCUAGGGGGCCAUCCCGGCUUACCAACCCGAUGCAAACUGCGAAUACCGGAGAAUGUUAUCACGGGAGACACACGGCGGGUGCUAACGUCCGUCGUGAAGAGGGAAACAACCCAGACCGCCAGCUAAGGUCCCAAAGUCAUGGUUAAGUGGGAAACGAUGUGGGAAGGCCCAGACAGCCAGGAUGUUGGCUUAGAAGCAGCCAUCAUUUAAAGAAAGCGUAAUAGCUCACUGGUCGAGUCGGCCUGCGCGGAAGAUGUAACGGGGCUAAACCAUGCACCGAAGCUGCGGCAGCGAACGUAUCACUUAAAGCGAUUCAGCGGAUGACGAUUGACGGAGCGAAGCGACGUCAAAGCGUAUACAAAGUCGAGUCGGUUUAAGGAUACGUUCGUUGGGUAGGGGAGCGUUCUGUAAGCCUGUGAAGGUGUGCUGUGAGGCAUGCUGGAGGUAUCAGAAGUGCGAAUGCUGACAUAAGUAACGAUAAAGCGGGUGAAAAGCCCGCUCGCCGGAAGACCAAGGGUUCCUGUCCAACGUUAAUCGGGGCAGGGUGAGUCGACCCCUAAGGCGAGGCCGAAAGGCGUAGUCGAUGGGAAACGGGUUAAUAUUCCCGUACUUGGUGUUACUGCGAAGGGGGGACGGAGAAGGCUAUGUUGGCCGGGCGACGGUUGUCCCGGUUUAAGCGUGUAGGUGUGUGUUCCAGGUAAAUCCGGUUCACUUUAACACUGAGGCGUGACGACGAGGCACUACGGUGCUGAAGCAACAAAUGCCCUGCUUCCAGGAAAAGCCUCUAAGCAUCAGGUAACAUCAAAUCGUACCCCAAACCGACACAGGUGGUCAGGUAGAGAAUACCAAGGCGCUUGAGAGAACUCGGGUGAAGGAACUAGGCAAAAUGGUGCCGUAACUUCGGGAGAAGGCACGCUGACACGUAGGUGAAGUGAUUUACUCAUGGAGCUGAAGUCAGUCGAAGAUACCAGCUGGCUGCAACUGUUUAUUAAAAACACAGCACUGUGCAAACACGAAAGUGGACGUAUACGGUGUGACGCCUGCCCGGUGCCGGAAGGUUAAUUGAUGGGGUCAGCGCAAGCGAAGCUCCUGAUCGAAGCCCCGGUAAACGGCGGCCGUAACUAUAACGGUCCUAAGGUAGCGAAAUUCCUUGUCGGGUAAGUUCCGACCUGCACGAAUGGCGUAAUGAUGGCCAGGCUGUCUCCACCCGAGACUCAGUGAAAUUGAACUCGCUGUGAAGAUGCAGUGUACCCGCGGCAAGACGGAAAGACCCCGUGAACCUUUACUAUAGCUUGACACUGAACAUUGAGCCUUGAUGUGUAGGAUAGGUGGGAGGCUUUGAAGUGUGGACGCCAGUCUGCAUGGAGCCGACCUUGAAAUACCACCCUUUAAUGUUUGAUGUUCUAACGUGGACCCGUGAUCCGGGUUGCGGACAGUGUCUGGUGGGUAGUUUGACUGGGGCGGUCUCCUCCUAAAGAGUAACGGAGGAGCACGAAGGUUGGCUAAUCCUGGUCGGACAUCAGGAGGUUAGUGCAAUGGCAUAAGCCAGCUUGACUGCGAGCGUGACGGCGCGAGCAGGUGCGAAAGCAGGUCAUAGUGAUCCGGUGGUUCUGAAUGGAAGGGCCAUCGCUCAACGGAUAAAAGGUACUCCGGGGAUAACAGGCUGAUACCGCCCAAGAGUUCAUAUCGACGGCGGUGUUUGGCACCUCGAUGUCGGCUCAUCACAUCCUGGGGCUGAAGUAGGUCCCAAGGGUAUGGCUGUUCGCCAUUUAAAGUGGUACGCGAGCUGGGUUUAGAACGUCGUGAGACAGUUCGGUCCCUAUCUGCCGUGGGCGCUGGAGAACUGAGGGGGGCUGCUCCUAGUACGAGAGGACCGGAGUGGACGCAUCACUGGUGUUCGGGUUGUCAUGCCAAUGGCACUGCCCGGUAGCUAAAUGCGGAAGAGAUAAGUGCUGAAAGCAUCUAAGCACGAAACUUGCCCCGAGAUGAGUUCUCCCUGAGACUUAAAGUCUCCUGAAGGAACGUUGAAGACGACGACGUUGAUAGGCCGGGUGUGUAAGCGCAGCGAUGCGUUGAGCUAACCGGUACUAAUGAACCGUGAGGCUUAACCUUACAACGCCGAAG